rnacentral:rRNA from 1 species
UACGAAGGGGGCUAGCGUUGUUCGGAAUCACUGGGCGUAAAGGGCGCGUAGGCGGCCUACUAAGUCAGACGUGAAAUCCCCCGGCUUAACCUGGGAACUGCGUCUGAUACUGGAAGGCUUGAGUAUGGGAGAGGGAUGUAGAAUUCCAGGUGUAGCGGUGAAAUGCGUAGAUAUCUGGAGGAAUACCGGUGGCGAAGGCGGGUCUCUGGGCAGUAACUGACGCUGAGGAGCGAAAGCGUGGGGAGCGAACAGG